UUUUUUUUUUUUUUUACUUGAUAAAGAUUCUGGGGGCUUCCGCCUCUCUCCCCUUUGCCAAUGUUUUGCCCUAGCAAAACUUGAAAUAGAUGUAAUCUGUUUAUGUAGAGGCUGAAAAGAGAGCAGUCUAGAUGAUCUUAUUGGCUUGAAUCCAAGCUAGAGUUAGAGGGAUUACUUUUUCUCACUUUAGAUCACCUUAGCUGAUCCUGUCAAGCAAUAAGCCUGGCCCUGUUUUGACUGCCUAAUGUGAUGCAAAGUGCUUUGAUCCUUUUUGUCUGUUUUCUGUCAAUGUGGCUAAACUAGCUUAAAUACAAGUUAGUAUGGAUUCUUACAAAGGAAAAAGAACAAUUUAUUUGAAUUGUAUUAAAAAUGAGUAUGAGUAUCUCACUUCUGCAUUUAAGAAAGCAGGUGAAAAUGGGCUUGCAUUUCCUAUUUCCCAUUGUUAUCUAAGAUGCUCAAGUGUUUCUUUUAAACUUGACCAAGACUCCAUAACCUAUUAAAAUAGAUUAUAAUUCAGAGUAGGUUUUAAUGCAAGCAUGUUAUCUGAAAGUGUGUGUGUGUGUUUGUGAAGGUGCCCUCUUGUUUUUCAUAGUAAGAUAAAUUUUACUUUCAAAAUAAGGUUAUGUGAAAUGAGACUUUCUGUUGCUUGUUGAUAGUUCUGCUGUAUAAUAAAAUAGCUGUUAGCACUGAAAAUAAAGGUUGGUAAAAUGAAAUUAGGAAGUUGAUUUUU